GCAGUGCCUAAGAACAGUGGCACAUUGAAGCGUACCUCUCAAAUCGUGGGGAAGCAAUCGGCUGUGGUGAGCAGAUCUAAAUUAAAACAAUUUCGAGCCCUUUGUCAAUCCACUGCUGAGUGAGGCCCUCAAAGACGCCACCGCCGACCAUGAGAGAAUAAAGUCAGGGCAGACAGCUUUUUCAAUAAUCCACUUUCUGGAUAAGAGCAUCCCCACGUCUUCCGUGUUAUUUGACCAUACUUCACCACGCUGGUCAAUCCGGGUCAGCAACACAGAGAGCGACGCCUUCGCCGCUUUCAUUGGACCUGGCAACGGCUAGCGACGCCUUCGCCAAGGGCUGCAGUUUCAUUGAACGGCGGUUGCCCCUGCCAACGGCUCCGUAAAUAAUUCAAUAAUAGCCAUUACACAGUAUUGUUGGAGCGCUGAGCGGGGGGGGGGGGAAGGCACGCCACCCGUACCCUGCCUCUGCCGGCUGCACAAUUUUGGCGAGGCCGCAGGCUCUGCACGCUACUAGGCCUCGACACCCACCACGCCACUCUGAGAACAUCUGAAGAAACAUCAUCCCCCUUAUCUCCCCUACCCCCAUAACGAGUGGUUACCAAGGGGUCAGUGUUUCAUCCUGGUCGCAUUGUUGGACUCUGCAAGUUGCCAUCCACUAACAUAGAACAUAUCUGCCAUCCACAGAUUUAAACCGUCUUCAAAUAUAUCUGGAACAUAUCAAAAACAACUAGAAUGCAUGUAAAUUGCAUGUCAAAUGAAGACAUUAAUAUUACACUUGAUGGCAAUAAUUCUACUCAAGUAGAAGAAAUGCACUACUCCACGAACCGUGAUGAAAAUAUUACAAGGCAGCUUCAUCUGCGCGACAACGGUGGUGCCCGGGAAAAGAAUGAAACCAAAAUAACAAACGUCUCGAAUUCUCAAGAAACGAUCGAAAGAGCGGACGCACUUAACACGUGUUCGUCGGGGGAGAAUAGUCAAAACAGACUUGUCGCAAUGGGUACGGCCCCGCUGCCUCUCGUUCAAAACCCUCCUGAGCCCACAGACGAAAAGUUGUCUGCCGCGUUAACGAUGAAGGGACAUUCGCAUCGCACGCCCUCCUCUCAUCUCGUCUACCACUACACGGGGACUCAUCUUGGCCCACCGAGUCGACGCGGAACCUUCUAACGGAUAAGCAAAUGUUGUGAACGAAGAGUUGCCACGCCUAGAAAUGACCCCUUGCAUCUACGCAAAAAACAAACUGUGGGUGAUCGUAUAUAAUUCGAUUAAUGUACUGUGCUGUACGCUAAUGUCCCUGUUAUUCUAAAUAUCUGUGGAUAACAAUAUGAAUUUACUGCGAUGUACACUGUAGUAUAGUGUGUAGUGUAGCAUUUUUGUUGCUGGAUCCUUGACGCUUUCGAAACUUCGGCCUGUGCUCAGAAACUUAAAAAAGACUAAUUGGCCCAAUCUUUGCUGUAUUCUGGCCGUAAUAUCGCCACCAAUCCUAUGCUGAUAUUGUUUUACUCAUUGGUGCACGAGUGGCCCAACAACGCCAUUUUGCUCGAUGUCCAUCUCUGUGCCAAUGCUUACGCGAUGUUCUGCAAUGUUGUGGGGCAUCAUCACGCUAUCCAUUCAUUUCAAAUAUGUACCUAUUUUCCCGCAUAUAGCCCACAUAUGCAUAUAACCCGCAGGUGCAUAUACCCCACAAAAAUAGCGUUUUGUGUAAAACAAAUUUCAGAUAGCCCGCACCUCCGUAUACCCCGCAUGCAUUCAUAUAUUUAACGUCGUAAACGGUUAUUACACUCGGCUUGCAGUCCACAGGUCCGGCUCUCCCAUCUACCAGCCUGGCAGCUGAAGCGAUCGUUCAAGUUUCCAAAAUGCCCUUUGCCUCUGUCCACCCAGCGGUUGGGUAGACAACAGUCAGUCGGUCAAAAGGUCGCACGUGGUUGCGUAAAGUGUGGGUACUCGCCCCUCUUCCGAGAUGUCUGGCGAGCGUGGGAAAGUAGACCAAACGACUCCUCGUGGAGGCCCUUCCUCCUGCAUUGGCACGAGCAAAACCUUUACCGUUUAUAGUUUCACACAUACACGAGCUGCUCUGUAAUAAGCAUUUUAGAUGUAUUAUCUUUAUUUGACACUCAAAUCACGUGUCACUAAUUUACUCUGCAUCGCGCGCUUUCAGAUGCGCUUCUGCGGCCGUCUGAUGUUAGGAAACCACUUGGAGCUAUGCACUUUAAAAUCAUCUAGAUUGAAAACUAAUUCCUUGAUAACUACUUUUUUUGUUUAGUUUGUUGUCCUUAGCACGGAUGUAUACCUAUGAAAGAAGUUCAACAUACAUACGUACAUUUGAAAUUGUUUGAAACAACUAAUGUAAACGUGAUAUUUCAUUAGCAUUCUCCAAGUAAUCUGCAUAGCAUGUGUUGUGUUAAAACACGUAGAUGUGGUGUAAAAAAUAAACUUUGAUUGCUUUCUGGAUGAUUAGGACACAUCGUGUGCAUACGUGACAUGGUCAAUGUGUGAUUUAUGUGUCCAAAAUAAGUGUUUAGUUUUAAAUAGCGCCGUUCAUGACGAUUGCGUCCCAAGAUCGAAGAGGGACCAGAUAACCUGAGUGACAGCCAGAUGGUGAGCCGGCAUCAACAAUUAAACCAGGCCUCUACCGUCUUCUGUAUAUUAAGAUGUUUUCAGUCAAUUAAUGAGAGGUAUUGCAUGUGAGAGGAAAUCGGAGCACCUGGAGAAAACUCCCGCGUGCGAGGGGGCAAUGCUCUAUCCUAUACAGAAGGGAAAAAUUAUGACUUAAAGCUUUCGUGACUGCAGGAAUUCAUAUAC